UCCCUAGCAGUCUAGUGCUUAGGACUCAGCACUGUCACUGCUUCAGCUGGGGUUCAAUCCCCAGUCAGGGAA
rfam:Ovis aries breed Texel chromosome 14, whole genome shotgun sequence.